CAGCAGCCGCGGUAAUACGUAGGGGGCAAGCGUUAUCCGGAUUUACUGGGUGUAAAGGGAGCGUAGACGGCUUGGCAAGUCUGAAGUGAAAGCUCGGGGCUCAACCCCGGAACUGCUUUGGAAACUGUCUGGCUAGAGUGCAGGAGAGGUAAGCGGAAUUCCUAGUGUAGCGGUGGAAUGCGUAGAUAUUAGGAGGAACACCAGAGGCGAAGGCGGCUUACUGGACUGUAACUGACGUUGAGGCUCGAAGGCGUGGGGAGCAAACAGGAUUAGAUACCCUGGUAGUCCACGCGGUAAACGAUGAUCACUAGGUGUUGGCUAUGCAUAGCGUGUCGGUGCCGCAGCAAACGCAAUAAGUGAUCCACCUGGGGAGUACGUUCGCAAGAAUGAAACUCAAAUGAAUUGACGG
rnacentral:rRNA from 1 species